rfam:Schistosoma haematobium scaffold454_28, whole genome shotgun sequence.
GCACUACUGAAGAGUCCCAUACUAGGGCGAAAUGGUCGUCCAGUAC